rnacentral:misc_RNA from 1 species
UCAAACUUGGUCAUUUAGAGGAAGUAAAAGUCGUAACAAGGUUUCCGUAGGUGAACCUGCGGAAGGAUCAUUACCAAAUCCAAAAACAACCCCUGUGAACUUGUAUUGUCUGUCUUUGGGGGGAAGGCCCUGUGUUUUCCCCCCAUAUUAAUUGAACAACUUUGAUCUUUUGUUGGAAUAUCUUUUAUUAAUUUUAAUAAAUGACAACUUUUAACGGUGGAUCUCUUGGCUCGUGGAUCGAUGAAGAACGCAGC